CCUCCGUGGCUCAGUUGGUAGAGCGCUCGGCUGUUAACCGAUAGGUCGCUGGUUCGAUCCCAGCUGGAGGAG
rnacentral:tRNA from 1 species